rnacentral:rRNA from 1 species
UACGUAGGGACCAAGCGUUGUUCGGAUUUACUGGGCGUAAAGGGCGCGUAGGCGGCAAUUCAAGUCAGCUGUGAAAUCUCCGGGCUUAACUCGGAACGGUCAGCUGAUACUGCUUUGCUAAAGUGCAGAAAGGGCAAUCGGAAUUCUUGGUGUAGCGGUGAAAUGCGUAGAUAUCAAGAGGAACACCUGAGGCGAAGGCGGGUUGCUAGGCUGACACUGACGCUGAGGCGCGAAAGCUAGGGUAGCAAACGGGAUUAGAUACCCCGGUAGUCCUAGCCCUAAACGAUGAAUACUUGGUGUCUGGAGUUUUUAUCCUCCGGGUGCCGUCGCUAACGUUUUAAGUAUUCCGCCUGGGGAGUACGCACGCAAGUGUGAA